AUUGAACGCUGGCGGCAGGCCUAACACAUGCAAGUCGAACGAGUGGCGGACGGGUGAGUAAUGUCUGGGACACUGCUCGAUGGAGGGGGAUAACUACUGGAAACGGUAGCUAAUACCGCAUACCAUCGGAUGUGCCCAGAUGGGAUUCGCUAGUAGGUGGGGUAACGGCUCACCGAGGCGACGAUCACUAGCUGGUCUGAUAGGAUGACCAGCCACACUGGAACUGAGACACGGUCCAGACUCCUACGGGAGGCAGCAGUGGGGAAUAUUGCACAAUGGGCGCAAGCCUGAUGAAGCAAUGCCGCGUGUAUGAAGAAGGCCUUCGGGUUGUAAAGUACUUUCAGUGGGGAGGCGUUACCAGCAGAAGAAGCACCGGCUAACUCCGUGCCAGCAGCCGCGGUAAGUC
rnacentral:rRNA from 1 species